ensembl:lncRNA
CUAAUUUGGCAGGAGCAUUUGGCAAUUUCCAAAGGAGGCUAAAGCUGCUUGCCCCUGAAGCAGGAGCAUGUAGUGUUCUCUGAAUCAUCCUGUGUGGUAGCACAACAGUACUUUAGCAAACAAGAAAUAUUUAAACACUCACAAGGAUGCAUCUUUUUACACACUGGGAAAGCGCAGAUAAAAACUUGAUUAGUUCAGUACAUAUUAGCAGCAGAUGCAGUUAACCAACAGUCAGGCAUUCUAACAUUUUAUUAGACUUUUCACACAGCAUGACAUGAAAAGCAGUACUGAGAAAGGGUCUUCCCUCUCAAUUUUCACAGGAGGCUGAAGUUGCUUGGCCGCUCCCAGGGAGCCCAAGGCAGGAUCCUGUUGUCUUCUCUGGACCGUCCUGCAUGGAAUCACACAACUACUUUACCCAACCGGAAUGUCGAACAUUGAUCGCAGUUUCCCUGUACGAGCAAAAAGCUGCCAAAUUUAAAUGAAGCAGCUAAAGAGGGUGGCAUAGUUCAGGACAUCCAACCACAUUUUAGAAGAUACAGUUAACACAUUAUGCAACAGUCAGGCUCUUGACGGUUUGAAAAGGAAUGUUAUUAGACCCGUCACACAGCCUGCAUGACAAGCAUUACAUAUCAAAAACCAUACUGGAAAAAAGGCUUACCGUUCACUCAAAUCACUAAAGACUGCUGGUAAUUUCCACCGUCAUAGGAGGCUGAAACUGCUCGACCACCUCUCUGGACCGUCCUGUGUGGAAUCACAACUCAUUCUGAAAAAUCUUUGAAACACUGACAAGAUUGCAUCUUUUUGCCCAUAGGCUAAUGUUAUUUAGCAAUACUAACACAUUGGCCAACAGAAAAUAGAUAAACAGCAGCUAAAGGAUCCAAAUAGUUCUUAAAGACAGGCCACAACACAGGCAUUCUUUACAGUUAGAAAGACAUUUUAUUAGUGCCAUUACAGCUUGUACGACAAGCAUUACAUUAAAAAAAAACACCUUGACAAAGAGCCCAGGUCUCGCCCAUCUUCUCCCUCUCCUCUAGAAUACAUUGACAUUUUAUUAAUUCACUGCCAAAAUUACAUUCCAGGUACACAGUAAAUUUGACUGUCAAAUUGGAGAACAUUGCAACACUAAGCCAGUAAACAAGGUCUUAACCUACAGUCUUGGGGUUACACUGAAGUGUACAGCACUAUGAGGUUGACUUUUUCCAAUUUAAAACAUCUGCAUGAGAAAUAUUUAAGCAACUAUUUAAAUCAAUAAAGUUAUUACUAUAACACCCACUUUUGAUAUAUUGUGCAAAAAACUGGUUCAGUUAAUGAAAAAUUGCUCUUUAAAUACAAAUUUAAAAUGACAGUUUUAAUUACCGUCACAGAAAUGUGUAUUUAAAGUGCAUUUUUACAGGGUACACACAUAAUAUUCACUUGCACUAUGGAACAAACAUCACAAUCACCACAAAACACCAAGCAAUUCAAACAGUUAAAACAUUGUGAAAAAUACGUGCAGUUAAAUAUGAGCAGUGGCUCUUUAGUAAUGUACUUGUUAACACAAGUCAGUCAUACCUUUUGUUUGCUUUCAUGGCACCACGGUCUCCACUGGGUUUCUUGCCCAAUGCAUAUUGAACCAACUGAAAUGAGUAAAUGACAAUACAAUAUUUAAAAAAAAUGAAAUGAUCUGCAACAAUUUAUGAAACAGGGUUACGAAAAAUACCACGGGCAAUCCACAGGUAGGUCAAACAUUUUACACAUCAACUAACCCGUUUGGCCUCCUACUUGUCCCUGAAAUUCAGUGGUAGAGUUGAGAUUAAAAGUAAUUGCCAAAAUCUUUGUCCAUGUAUUGAAGUGAGGUUGCCCUUUAACCUACCCCGAACUUCCGAACCUUGGAAGUUUUAGUUUUUCCAUUGGUCAUCUUGAUUCUGCAGGUGUAGAACCAGCCAUAGCAGCCUGAGAAGAGAUCACAAGCAAUUAGUAAAGUUCAACGUGCAAGUAAAUCCCCUCUAGAGGUACCAUUGGCCGAUUUCUAUUUGGGCGGUCGACAGAUACAAGAGAAUGAGGGAGAAAUAGUUAUAGGGCUGUUGUAUUAGAAUGCAUUAGUUUUAGCUGAUGCAUAGUGUGUAGAUCAAGUCAUGAGAAGUUGAGCAACUGGAAGAAAGACAUUUGUAACCACCGGUAGCACAGAGUUAAAUAUUUCCUCAUAAAUUAUCCAACAACCACGGAUCAACAGGUGACUGAAGUCAGACAGAGGAAACAGUAUUCCCAGAUUUCAACAUUUAGUUAAAAUAUAGAAAGCAUACAAAACAAUUAAACCAAUUUCCAUCAGCUGUAGAAAUAACCAAAUGCACCUCUACAAACAAAUUGAGUGCUACUGGUGACUGGGCUGCACCGAGGCAGGAACAUUACAGGUCAUUUAGCAGACGCUUUUAUCCAAAGCGACUUACAUUACCACUUUAAACCCAUGGAUUUUUCACAUUUUUGCCCGGGGAGCAAUUAGGGGUUAGGUGUCAGGUGUUGCUCAGGGACACUUACACAUGGAACAUGGGGCAGCCUGGAAUCGAACCAACAACCUUGUGCUUCCCAGCACACCUUCUCUAACCCCUGCACCACGACGACACGAGGGACAGGGACAGGCUCUGGCACAGGGCACUCACAGACUCAGUUUCUCCACACAAACAAUAUAAAAUAGAGGCAUGCUAUGUAAAAAGAAAAUACAGACAAACACAACGGACAAUGGGAUGAGCAGAUGAAAGGCCCAGCCACCAAACCCACCAUCUGGGAUGCUACCCUGCAGACAACCUCAAACACAAAAAUAAACACAAAUUACUUACCAAAAGUAAUCAUCUGCAAACUAGUAUUACCAACAUGAAGAAACUCCAGACCAGAACUGAACAAGCAACACUAAACAGCAAUGGCUUCUAAUGCCAGCCUGGAGUUACUUUGAGGCUCCUCCACCUGGUAUGGCUCACACAUGAUUUGGGCCUCCCUGACGAGCUGGGAGACACAAACAGAAAGAUCACCAACGGCCAAACAUUUUAAAAAGAACUGAGAAUGAAAACACCUACCAGCUCACUGGCUUCUCCAGCCCAGAAAGGGACAAGCAUGCCAAAAGCAGCUUCAUUAUGGGCAGCUUUAUACCCUUUCUAAUGGGUGAACCAGGAAGUAGGAGGUACCAAGGCCUGCCUGAACCUACAGUAGCUCAGGAAGGACAUUUUCUCACUGGCUACACAUUGAAAAAGAUUAUAUAUUAUUCAAAUCAUUGAGUUAUAAUCUCACCGGCUGAGCUUCUUCCCAACAAAGAUGAACUUGUGUUGCAGUAUCACCAUUUAGAUUAUUUCAUCAAAAUCUGGCUGUGCACCCAGUAAGCCAUGGAUCAAAAUUCCCCUCACCUGUAGUUUAGUCCAUUAUAUGCCACAUUUUUGGCCAAGCUUGCACUGUCAUUAGUUUUGGUCCUUAGACUUUUGUUUUAGAGUAUUUGAGAUAUCCUUGGUAAAAACAUCAAUGUAAAGAGUGAAAACAUUUAUUAUGUCCAAUAGAGGUCUGCUGAAGCCACGUGCGUGUAAAUGAUUUGCAAUCUGAAAUUGAUGUAUCUCAGAAAGGGGAAGAAGCACAUUUGCAGAAUGCUGAAUUCGAAGCAAAGACUUUUAAAUAUAUUGGAAUGCCAUACGGGCAGCACAGUGGGGUCAUGGUUAGCACUGUCGCUAUUGAUUGCAGCCCCCAACGACCCUGUGUGCACCAUAAGUGGUUUGAAGAUGAAUGGAUGGAAUUACUUACUAUUAUUUUGGUGGAGUACAUAUUCUACUGGUUCCACUACAUUAAAGUGGGUCCUCCAAGCACUGUAAAGUGCACCUAUGCCACCAAUUGCUUCUAAGAAGGCUUCUCUCACAGAACGCACUGGCUAGCUUUUCAACUACUGACUGGUCAAACUUCCAUUCCAAACAUCCAUUAUCUCUUAAUGCUUGGCUAAUAGUCUUUUGCGUAGUCUGCACAGACAGAACCAAUCAAAUAGUUAAAACUCCUGCCAAAUCUAAUCUGUAUAAGACACAAGAAAGAUUUUCUAUUCUUUAAGCAGAACGGAAGUCAUUUUAACCUCAUUAUCCUUCCCCAAGUUUUGAGAACUCCCAUUGUAAAAAAAUGAGUUUAAAAUAGCAUUGCUCUCUAUACUUUCCUCAUCUGGAAUAAUAUUUGCGACAUUGGCACAAGAUUGUCCAACUGCAUGUAUCUCAGGCUUAAAGAUUUUCCCUGUUUUCUAUAUCUCUCAUAGAUUUCGGUUAGGGUUAAAUUAGGAACACACAUGUUAUCUUAUUAUCUAUUCUUUUUUUUAAUGGUGAAGGGUGUGUUGGAAAUACUCCCUUUCAGUGGACAGUUGGACCACAAGUAUUGCAGUUGAACGUAGAUAGGCUUUGUUGACUGUUCUUUGGGCAAAGUGAUUUAUUGACAGGAGAAAUGCACAGGUGUACAACGUGGGCCCGAGGUACGCCUGUAGAGGGUCCCAGUAGCUCAGGUUUUUGAGCGUUGGAUUACGGCGGUCCAGGUCCCACAAAGAGUUAUUAAAGUUUCACACAUUUUGUUGAUGGGAAAAUACACAAGUGUCCUAAAUGGACCAGAGCACGCUUCCCGCGGUCCGAUAAGCUUAGGUCUGGUCUCAUUCGAACCGCACCACUGCUCUCCACAUAGGUACACCAACCACAAGAUGGUGCAACCUCCGCAGACCAAUUGAUGUCCAAAUCAUGCCCUGUAUCGAUAGAAGAAGAGGAAAGUGUCUCACAUUGGUGAUGACAUUAUUUAUUCAACUGUAUUUAUGUCACAUUUCACACAUGAGGCCUAGAUACGUCAUAUGAUGAUGAUAAAAACAAUUCUAACAAUAAAAAAAUACAUCUUCAAUAAUAAUUGAUAACACGUUGACCUAGCCCUGCGAUUGGCUGGCGACCCAUCCAGGAUGUUCCCUGUCUAUCGCCGAAAGUUGGCUGGGAUGGACUCCAGCCCCCCCGCGACCCUGUGUGCAGGAUAAGCGGUUUGACAAUGGAUGGAUGGAUGGAUGGAUGGUUGACCUAGCUCGGUAAAAUCCUUUAAUUAUGUGAGGAAACUGAAAUAAAACCCGUAAUCUCAACAGACUCACAAUAGUUGACAGCAGAAGAUAUUCAUUACUUGACAUCAAGAUCCCACAUCAGUCUUCAUCACCUGUCCACUGAUGAGGAAGUAUGUUGAUGAUUCAGAUAACAUUAUGAUAAUAAUAAUAAUAAUAAUAGUAAUAAUAAUGAUAGGUGUUCAUGGUGCUGGAACUCAAUAAGUAUCCCACGAUCCCAGCUCCUUGAGUAUUUUUUAUCACUGUGUCAGUUUUGUGUUUGGUAUCAUUCCUGAACGUAACCUGAGGGCUAUUGCAUGAAACCAGGAUAAGGGAUUAAACUGGUAAAUUCACGUUAUCCUGGAUAAAUGUAGCUUUUACUUGGUUGCACGAAAGCAGGUUCAAUUAAACCCAGCCAAGUAACCAUGGCAAUCUAUUAUUUGCAGCUAGCCUGCUCCAGACCAGGUAACAGCCAGGCUAAGAUUAAUCCUGGAGACUCAUGUCUUAAAUCAGCUGCCGCUCUGAUCCAAAACAAACGUGUUCAACAGUUAUUCCGUUGUCUCCUGAAUGUGUUCUGAUUUAUCUUUUUUAACAUGCAUUACUUGUCACUAUUGCUGUCACCAGUUUGAUUUUAAACUCUACUAUUGCAGUUGUUUAGAUCAGUGGUCCACAACCUUUUUUGCCUCACGGGCCGUUUUCAUGUCAGACAAUAUUUCGUGGACCAGUCAAAAAGGUCCGGCAGAUAAUAAACACGCCGAACUAACAGGGGGGUUAGUAGUCGUUGGGGGCGGGUGGACCUUCAUUAUUAAACCUUCAAGUAUGAUUCACUGCAGGACUCCUGUAUUAUUAUUAUUAUGUCUGUUUUGUAGCCUUGAAAUUUCAAACUAUUACGUUAUUCCAACGAAACCUUCUUAUUUAUUCUACAAAACGUAAUAUUCAAUAAUUUUAACAAACAAAGUUACACGAUGUGAACAAUAUGGCAAUUCCAUUUCUUAGAGUGGCAGCGAGAUCUUGGGUUUGAGUCACUCAACGGCCUUUCUGUUUGGAGUUAGUUGAGCCGAGGUUGGCUGGGAUUCCCACAAUUGUGCAAAAAAAGCUAUGUAUCUAGUAUGAGAAAGGGUUAGUUACUACUUUAAAAGGGUGAGGGCUUUAAAACAUACAUUUGAAAAAAAAUCACAACAUGUUUUUGUAAAAAGUCAUAGGAGCUUAUAAUACCAUAUUCCCCUACUAGAGAGCUGCACUCCAUAAAUGCGGGGUUACUUGUUCUUACUAGAGCAGGGGUGCCCAACCUUUUUUGAACCAAGAUCUACUUUUAAAGUUGAUAGUGAUCGAGAUCUACCAAACCAUAUCGAAAGCCGUAGCAUAGCCACAAUGUAUUGCGCACCUAUAUAGGACACUGUUUUCUGACACAUAGAUACAGUUUUAACAAUCAUAAUACAUUUAUUGAAGUAAAUGUGAAUUUGCAAAGAAUAAGCACAAGUAGGCCUAGGACUGGCCCGUAACAACAUGACAGACAAACAACCAAAUAGUACAAUGCCUAAAUUCUUUGAACCUUUAUAAGAACUAAUUCAAGUUUGAAAAGUGGUAUUUCCUCUACCGUAGUGGUAUUUCUGGCACUGAGAGGAGGAAGCUAGUCUCUCAUAGUCUGGACAGUAAGAGCUGAGUGCCAGCCGUAAGCAGACUGCAAGGUGGUCAUCAGUCAUGGUGGAUCUGUAUUUUGACUUGAUGAUUUUCAUAUGUGAAAAGGCAGACUCACACAAAUAUGUUGAUCCGAAAAGUGCAGUCAAAUUCUCUGCAGUUUGUCUGAGGUUGGGGUACUUCUCUUUCUGCAUUAGAUUCCAGAAUUGGACAUUCAUGCCACGUGUUCCUCUGGAUUUGAGCUCAAUGUCAUUCUUCGGUGUGAGGAUCUCAUUCUCAAUAGCACCUAUCCAGGUUGAAGAGUGAUGCCACUUUGGACGUCAUACAAUCCACAUCUACAUUUUCCCCAAAUGGAAAACAAAGAUAGCUGACAACAGGCUCAAUGGAUGCAAAGUCAGCGAAGCGCCUGUCAAAUUCUGACAAGAUGCUCUGCACUUGCUCAUCAUAAUGUGCACCCUCAAGCUCCGCCCAGUCUUUGCCCACAGCCUGGACUGCCAACUCUCACGCAUUGGCCGCGAGACUCACGCAUUUGAUCGGUUUCACGCGCUCUCACGCCACAACUUCGAUUUCUCACGCCAAAAAAAUUGGGAGACUACCAUUGAAAAAGAGGGGCGCCAGAACACAACAGUAAUGUAAGGUUCCCUUUCCUGUCCAUGGUCACGUUGACGACGCGCUCGGUAUCGCGCUGCGCGGACAGCCCGCGAUCGACUGGUAGACCGCGAUCGACUGGUUGGGCACAACUGCUGUAGAUAUACGCUCUACAACAUCAGGAGAACACGUCCCCUUCUCACUCAAAAGGCAGCACAGGUACUGAUUCAGGCUCUUGUCAUCUCCUGCCUGGACUACUGUAACUCUCUCCUGCAGGUCUCCCUGCUACCGCCAUUCCACCUCUGCAGCUCAUCCAGAAUGCAGCACUUAAAUUGUACUUGUAACGCCACUCAUCUAUAGCAAAUUGUAAAUUGGCUUAUUUAAGGAAAUUGCACUUUCUUGUUUCUUGUUUUUCUGAGU